rnacentral:rRNA from 1 species
UACGGAGGGUGCAAGCGUUAUCCGGAUUCAUUGGGUUUAAAGGGUGCGUAGGCGGAAUGAUAAGUCAGUGGUGAAAGCCUGUUGCUUAACAACAGAACUGCCAUUGAUACUGUCAAUCUUGAGUACAUUUGAUGUGGGCGGAAUGUGUCAUGUAGCGGUGAGAUGCUUAGAUAUGACACAGAACACCGAUUGCGAAGGCAGCUCACAAAACUGUAACUGACGCUGAGGCACGAAAGCGUGGGUAUCAAACAGG